rnacentral:rRNA from 1 species
CUCACCAAGGCGAAGACGGGUAGCUGGUCUGAGAGGAUGAUCAGCCACACUGGAACUGAGACACGGUCCAGACCUCCGUACGGGAGGCAGCAGGUGGGGAAUAUUGCGCAAUGGGCGAAAGCCUGACGCAGCCACGCCGCGUGAGCGAUGAAGGUCUUCGGAUCGUAAAGCUCUGGUGGGGGAGAAGAAGAAAGUCGGUGAAGAGCCGGCCCUGACGGUAUCCCCUUAGCAAGCACCGGCUAACUCCGUGCCAGCAGCCGCGGUAAUACGGAGGGUGCAAACGUUGCUCGGAAUCAUUGGGCGUAAAGCGCGCGUAGGCGGCUGAACAAGUUGGAUGUGAAAGCCCUGGGCUCAACCUAGGAUGUGCAUUCAAAACUGUUCGGCUUGAGUCUCGGAGGGGGUCAGAGAAUUCUCGGUGUAGAGGUGAAAUUCGUAGAUAUCGGGAGG